rnacentral:rRNA from 1 species
CCUACGGGAGACAGCAGUGAGGAAUAUUGGUCAAUGGGCGGGAGCCUGAACCAGCCAAGUCGCGUGAGGGAAGACGGUCCUAUGGAUUGUAAACCUCUUUAGGCGGGGAGCAAUGCCGGGCACGCGUGCCCGGCGGGAGAGUACCCGCAGAAUAAGCAUCGGCUAACCCCGUGCCAGCAGCCGCGGUAAUACGGAGGAUGGGAGCGUUAUCCGGAUUUAUUGGGUUUAAGGGGUGCGUAGGCGGAUUUUUAAGUCAGCGGUAAAAUGUCCGGGCUCAACCCGGGCCGGCCGUUGAAACUGGGGAUCUUGAGUGGGCGAGAAGUAUGCGGAAUGCGUGGUGUAGCGGUGAAAUGCAUAGAUAUCACGCAGAACCCCGAUUGCGAAGGCAGCAUGCCGGCUUCCGACUGACGCUGAAGCACGAAAGCGUGGGGAUCGAACAGGAUUAGAUACCCCUGUAGUC